UGGGGAAUAUUGCACAAUGGGCGCAAGUCUGAUGCAGCAACGCCGCGUGAACGAUGAAGGUCUUCGGAUUGUAAAGUUCUGUUCCAGGGGAAGAUAAUGACGGUACCCUGUGAGGAAGCCCCGGCUAACUACGUGCCAGCAGCCGCUGUAAUACGUAGGGGGCUAGCGUUAUCCGGAUUUACUGGGCGUAAAGGGUGCGUAGGUGGUCUUUCAAGUCGGUGGUUAAAGGCUACGGCUCAACCGUAGUUAGCCUCCGAAACUGGAAGACAUGAGUGAGGGAGAGGAGAGUGGAAUUCCCAGUGUAGCGGGGAAAUGCGUAGAUAUAGGGAGGAACACCAGUGGCGAAGGCGGCUUUCUGGACUGCAACUGACACUGAGGAACGAAAGAGUGGGUAGCAAACAGG
rnacentral:rRNA from 1 species